GAGUUGAAUGGGGAGUAGGGGAAGAAGUCAAACUCAGAAUGAGACAGCUACUACUUACUGCUCAGUAAGUGAUUUGCCAUCUACUUCGGGCCUUGAAAGAAUAGUUUAAUGUCUGUAUAUUCAAGUAGGAUUCAUGUCUAACUUCCUUCUUUACAGAGUGCACGAAAUUAUAUACUCGGUUUACUAAUGUUCUCUCUGAUAGAAUCUUACCUUCACAGCCCUGCUAAUAGUCUGUAAUCUGGUGAUUAUCAGACUCAAGCUUCUUCAUGUCAAACUUGAUUUAUAUUAGAAGCCGUGGGGUCUAGACAAAUGUAGAAGAUCUCUGAAGAUGUAUUUGGGGGAGAAAGCAUAUGGAAGGUCUGAAGAGACAUGGAGAAGAAGCAGUUAUUGAAAUUUGGGACAUACAUAGUAGAUUCCUUAUAGAAGUUGUGACCCAAGUUAGAAAGAUCCAGCCAAGUGAAAAUGACGUCAAAGAAGGGAGCCAGUGGGGAGCACUUGAUGGGAUGAGCACUGGGUGUUAUGCUAUAUGUUGGCAAAUCGAACUCCAAUUAAAAAAUAUACAAAAAAAAAAUAAAGUGGGUUUCUUGGAAAAAAAUAAUAAUUUGAACAUAUUUUAAAAAAGGGAUCCAGUGGAAUAAUUACUUGGCCCUCCUUCUAUCAGCUUGUUGAUCUUUCAC
rnacentral:lncRNA from 1 species